CUAUUUCUCAAUGUUACUUUCAGGGUUCAUUUUAUGGCAGAUUAAGACACUUCCUGGAUGUGAUCGACCCUCGCACGCUCUUUGUAUCAGAGAAACGUUUAAAUGAAUGUAUGAAUCUCUUGGAUCAGUUCAAAAAAGGAUCUCUGCCUCCAGGUGUGACAAAUGUGCAGCUUUGGGAGGCACAGAAGAUUAAACAGGUGAGUGUGAACAGCGU